rnacentral:lncRNA from 1 species
GGAAAAUUCAAUAAGGUUAAACAAAGGAAUUUAGCAUCAGGGUUAAAAUAGUAAAUUUAUGCAAUAGGUUUAGGUUAAAAUUAGGGCUAAAAUAUGCUUCUGUGUUAACUUUAAUAUAUAAGAAGAUGUAUCGAGAAAUUGAGAAGGGGAGAAAUUCAAUAAGAUUAAACAAAGGAAUUUAGCAUCAGGGUUGAAAUAGUAAAUUUAUGCAAUAGGUUUAGGUUAAAAUUAGGGCUAAAAUAUGCUUCUGUGUUAACUUUAAUAUAUAAGAAGAUGUAUCGAGAAAUUGAGAAGGGGGAAAAUUCAAUAAGGUUAAACAAAGGAAUUUAGCAUCAGGGUUAAAAUAGUAAAUUUAUGCAAUAGGUUUAGGUUAAAAUUAGGGCUAAAAUAUGCUUCUGUGUUAACUUUAAUAUAUCAGAAGAUGUAUCGAGAAAUUGAGAAGGGGAGAAAUUCAAUAAGGUUAAACAAAGGAAUUUAGCAUCAGGGUUAAAAUUGUAAAUUUAUGCAAUAGGUUUAGGUUAAAAUUAGGGCUAAAAUAUGCUUAUGUGUUAACUUUAAUAUAUAAGAAGAGAAAAUGUAUCGAGAAAUUGAGAAGAGGGAAAAUUCAAUAAGGUUAAACAAAGGAAUUUAACGGGUUAACUUUAAUAUAUAAGAAGAUUAGGUGUGAGCAUUAGGGUUAAAAUAGUAAAAUUAUGCAAUAGGGUUUAGGUUAAAAUUAGGGCUUACGAGUUAACUUUAAUAUAUAAGAAGAUAAGAAGAUUAGGAGUGAGCAUUAGGGUUGUUCAUGAAAAUAGGAGAUUAGGUGUAAGCAUUAGGGUUAAAACAGUAAAAUUAUCCAAUAGGAUUUAGGUUAAAAUUAGGGCUUACAGGUUAACUUUAAUAUAUAAGAAGAUAGGUGUGAGCAUUAGGGUUAAAACAGUAAAAUUAUCCAAUAGGGUUUAGGUUAAAAUUAGGGCUUACGAGUUAACUUUAAUAUAUAAGAAGAUUAGGUGUGAGCAUUAGGGUUGUUCAUGAAAAUAGGAGAUUAGGUGUGAGCAUUAGGGUUAAAAUAGUAAAAUUAUGCAAUAGGGUUUAGGUUAAGAUUAGGGCUUACGGGUUAACUUUAAUAUAUAAGAAGAUUAGGUGUGAGCAUUAGGGUUGU